rnacentral:lncRNA from 1 species
GGCGUAGACACCAUCGUGACGACACGUAGUAAUUGGGAGAGUCCAAUAGUUCCGCUAAGUGUUUUGACCGCUUUCAAUAAAUUAGAGAGUGAGUUCUACACUGUGGUAUCAGUCGUCCUCAUAUUGACCAAUCAAAUCCAUGCUCCGUUGAUAACGGCGGCAACAGUCAAAACACUAAGGACCUGAAUUUGUUACUGCCAAGGACCACAAACCGCUGGUUACGAGAACGACGAGGAGGCAAGAGGACAUCGUGAGAGGCGAGUGCCUGGGGAGCGGCGAGUGAGUGUGUGGGUGUGAGUGCGGGCGUAACGCACGGCGCGAGACAGAGUAAAGAUAAAACCUACGGAGAUUACGCUCCAUACUUCACGUCAACUGACCGAAAGUGAUGCGACGUGAGAUGUGUCCAGUGAGGUGAUUAUUAAAUUAAAUAAUUAAUAAGCAAAACGAGCAUUGGAAGAGUAAAGGAGCCUAGAGCUCAGUGCAUACCUGAUAAGUGAUACGUGAUCAGUGAUGCGAUUGAUGA